GACGAACGCUGGCGGCGUGCCUAAUACAUGCAAGUUGAGCGCUGAAGGUUGGUACUUGUACCAACUGGAUGAGCAGCGCACGGGUGAGUAACGCGUGGGGAAUCUGCCUUUGAGCGGGGGACAACAUUUGGAAACGAAUGCUAAUACCGCAUAAAAACUUUAAACACAAGUUUUAAGUUUGAAAGAUGCAAUUGCAUCACUCAAAGAUGAUCCCGCGUUGUAUUAGCUAGUUGGUGAGGUAAAGGCUCACCAAGGCGAUGAUACAUAGCCGACCUGAGAGGGUGAUCGGCCACAUUGGGACUGAGACACGGCCCAAACGCCUACGGGAGGCAGCAGUAGGGAAUCUUCGGCAAUGGACGAAAGUCUGACCGAGCAACGCCGCGGGAGUGAAGAAGGUUUUCGGAUCGUAAAACUCUGUUGGUAGAGAAGAACGUUGGUGAGAGUGGAAAGCUCAUCAAGUGACGGUAACUACCCAGAAAGGGACGGCUAACUACGUG
rnacentral:rRNA from 1 species